rnacentral:rRNA from 1 species
AACCCCUGUGACAUACCAAUUGUUGCCUCGGCGGAUCAGCCCGCUCCCGGUAAAACGGGACGGCCCGCCAGAGGACCCCUAAACUCUGUUUCUAUAUGUAACUUCUGAGUAAAACCAUAAAUAAAUCAAAACUUUCAACAACGGAUCUCUUGGUUCUGGCAUCGAUGAAGAACGCAGCAAAAUGCGAUAAGUAAUGUGAAUUGCAGAAUUCAGUGAAUCAUCGAAUCUUUGAACGCACAUUGCGCCCGCCAGUAUUCUGGCGGGCAUGCCUGUUCGAGCGUCAUUUCAACCCUCAAGCCCAGCUUGGUGUUGGGACUCGCGAGUCAAAUCGCGUUCCCCAAAUUGAUUGGCGGUCACGUCGAGCUUCCAUAGCGUAGUAGUAAAACCCUCGUUACUGGUAAUCGUCGCGGCCACGCCGUUAAACCCCAACUUCUGAAUGUUGACCUCGGAUCAGGUAGGAAUACCCGCUGAACUUAAGCAUAUCAU